AACGUAGGACGCAAGCGUUAUCCGGAGUUACUGGGCGUAAAGCGCGGGCAGGCGGUCUUGCCAGUCUGAUGUGAAAUCUCCUCGCUCAACGGGGAGCAGCCAUUGGAAACUACAAGACUGGAGUCUGACAGAGGUAGGCGGAAUUCCGGGUGGAGUGGUGAAAUGCGUAGAGAUCCGGAGGAACGCCAGAGGCGAAGGCGGCCUACUGGGUCAGUACUGACGCUGAGCCGCGAAAGCCAGGGGAGCGAACGGG
rnacentral:rRNA from 1 species